UCAUCAGAGGACUUGGCUGAAACAACGCGAUUCACAUGGAUUACUUCGGCGAUGUUUUUUAUUGCUGUUGCGAUUAACCUUUUGAAAUGUGAGCAGUUUUUAAGUAUCAAGUGGAUCUGACAUCGAGGGGAAAUAUACGUUUCUUGGAUUUCAUUAAAGUACAUCGGUUUUUGUUUGAAGAUGAAUGAGAGAACAUGAGGCACAGCGGCAUUCAAAUUGACCAAUCAGAGCCGAGAAUAUCUAAUAAGUCGAAGUAGAGAUGAACAGAUGAAGAUACAGCCCGUAAAAAUACUUAUUCUUGGUGAGUGCCAUGUAGCGACGGAUCAAACGGACACUCGUGUCAAGCUUGAUGAGGAC